AACGAACGCUGGCGGCGUGCCUAACACAUGCAAGUCGAACGCGAAAGGGGGCAACUCCCGGUAGCGUGGCAGACGGGUGAGUAACACGUGGGUAACCUGCCCCGAGGUGGGGGAUAACCCUCCGAAAGGAGGGCUAAUACCGCAUGACACCUGGAGGUCCGCGGAUCUCCAAAUCAAAGCUAGCCUCUGCUUGCAAGCUAGCGCCACGGGAGGGGCCCGCGCCCCAUUAGCUAGUUGGUGAGGUAACGGCUCACCAAGGCGACGAUGGGUAGCCGGCCUGAGAGGGCGAUCGGCCACACUGGAACUGAGACACGGUCCAGACUCCGACGGGAGGCAGCAGUGAGGAAUAUUGCGCAAUGGGCGAAAGCCUGACGCAGCGACGCCGCGUGGAGGACGAAGGUCUUCGGAUCGUAAACUCCUGUCGAGCGGGACGAAGCCGGAGCGGUGAACAGCCGCUUCGGUUGACGGUACCGCUAAAGGAAGCCCCGGCUAACUCCGUGCCAGCAGCCGCGGUAAUAC
rnacentral:rRNA from 1 species